UCUGGCUUUCUCUCCAGGAUUCGUUUAGGGUGGUCUACUUUGGACUGCGGUUGCCUGGUCGUCGCGUUGUUGUGGAUAUCGUUCCCGUCAGUUGUUAGUGCUUGCUUAUCAAAUAAACUUCUGUUCGCCAAAGGAUAUCCGCAUCAGGAGCAUAAGAUUAAAGCCCAUUUAAUUGUGAUUAGCACAAUAAAUCGAGCGAUCUCGGAUUCAAAUGCAAUUGCGUUUAAGUUUAAUUUGGAGAAUGUGUGAAGAGCUGCCACCGUCUGCUUAAGCAUGAAUCGCUAUAUAACGCUGACCCAAUUGGGCGAUGGAACCUAUGGGACCGUUGUCUUGGGACAGCGAAAGGACACCGGCGAGAAGGUGGCCAUCAAGCGCAUGAAGCGCAAGUACUACUCCUGGGAAGAGGCCAUGAAUCUUCGGGAGGUUAAGUCGCUGAAAAAACUUUCUCAUCCGAACAUUGUGAAACUGAAGGAGGUUAUCCGGGAGAACGACACUCUGUACUUUGUGUUUGAGUACAUGAAGGAGAACCUCUACCAGAUGAUUAAGGAUCGGGACACACACCUUCCGGAGCCCGAACUGAAGAGCAUUCUCUUCCAGGUUUUAACUGGUCUAGCCUUCAUGCAUCGCCAUGGAUUUUUCCACCGCGACCUGAAACCGGAGAACCUGCUCUGUUCCGGACCGGAACUUAUCAAGAUAGCUGACUUCGGUUUGGCCAGGGAGAUCCGAUCCCGGCCUCCGUUCACGGACUACGUAUCCACGAGAUGGUACCGCGCACCGGAGGUCCUUCUGCACUCCACCAACUACGGCAGCACCAUCGACCUCUGGGCCAUGGGCUGCAUCAUGGCAGAGCUCUACACCUUCCGCCCGCUCUUCCCGGGAAGCAGCGAGGUGGAUCAGCUCUUCAAGAUUUGCUCUGUGCUGGGAACACCAGAGAAGAAUGACUGGCCAGAUGGAUAUCGACUGGCGAGCAUGAUCCACUUCCGCUACCCGGACUGCAUCAAAGUGCCACUGAGCAGCGUCGUCAGUCGCUGCAGCCAAAAUGGACUGGACCUGCUGGAGGACCUGCUGGCCUACGAUCCCGACAAGCGUCCCACAGCCCAGCAGAGUCUCAAGUAUCCGUAUUUCCACGCCCUCAAGCGAAUCUCGCCCACGGCCGCCACCAAGGCGAAUGUGCGACUCAGUUCCAAAUACAAUGCGGCAGCCAAUGGCCAUUCGGUUCAGAGUGUCUCCAACAAUGUGCUUCCGGUGCAGGAGAAGCUGCAGGCGGUCACGGAGUUGCUCCACCAGAGCAACAACAACAACAAUAGUAUCCAUAAUCAAAUAUCCAAUUUGGGCAAGAACAACAAUUUGUCGGUUAAGAACGGUGGAAUGCCAAGGAAGUACCAACCGAAGCUCAGCUUCCUGACCAGUCAUGAAAUGGGUGCAGGUUCACUGGCGGAUUCUUCUAGCUUGGGAGGCGCCACAACGGAUGGAGUCCAAGUGCCACAGCUGCAAAACGGCGGAGGAGGAGGAGCAGAAUCCAUCAAUGACAUCUACUUGAAUCGCAACAUAACGCAGCUCUUUGGUUUGCCAGCGGGGGCACAGCACCACCAGCAGGUGCACCACCCGAACGUGUCCUUCAGCACCACCACUUCCCGCAACGCUGGAGCGAUCUAUGUGAAUGGGAGCCACCUCAGCUACGAUACGGCCAACAUGAAUGCCAAGAACAAUGCCACCAAGUUGGUGGUGGGUGCCGCCAAUGGUGGCUACUACGUUCCGGUGGCCAGGCCAUCGCUCCUCGGUCCCGAGGCCAAAGUGUACAACGUGUUCUCCAAGGUCAGUGCCAGCCAGGCUCCUCCGAGCCUCAUCGUUCGCCAGCCACAAAUGCAGCCGGACGGAGGACCACCGAACAUGAGACUCUCGGGAAGAUCUCGAGCUGCUGCCCAGGAAUCCAGGACGGGUGCUCUCAAGUCCGACGAUCUGGAUCUGAUACUCGGCUCCAAGCUGAAAACCUCCGCGAAGCGUCAGCGAAAUGCCAAGGCGAACAUCCUGCUGGAGGACCUCUUUGGCCAGCUAUCCAUGGACUCGGACAGCGACGGGAAGUAUCCGCACACGGUGCCGCCCACGCAGCAGGCGAAGAGCGGAAAGACGUCGACGGGAGGUCCUCGCGAAAGGGAUCUCUUCGGGGAGAGCUUCCUGCCGAGACCGGGACUAAGGAAGAAGGCCACCCAGAGCAGCCUGGAGGUGAACAAUGGCAGCCACGCGGAUUCGCUAGCUCAAAACACGCAAAAGGAAAAACCCGUGGUGGCAGCCAAUUUCCCUUGGGAUGAGACCAACAAGACGGAGGAUGAGAAGCUGACCGCUUGGAUGGUGGCCGAGAACGGUAACUUGGUUUUGGGUAGUCAUCAACAAGCGUAGAAAUCGAGAGCACACCACUCCAAUCCACUAAAAUGUAGUUACUUAGAAUUCACCCAAUUGGAACUUGCAAAUGGAUCGCUGCUGGAGAAUAAGUUCUGAGGAGAUCGACUUGCGAAAUGCCGUUGUACCUGAAACUGAAUGGAAUGAAUUCAAGUGCCUGUUGAUCUGCAUAUUUUCGAACUGAAUCCGAAUCAAAAUCCAAAUCACCAAGCCAUGGAGCCAUGGGAAUCGUUGGAUCGGCGUGUAGAGUUAGUCUAGUUUCGAUAUAAUGUUUUAUUGCUGUGAUACAAUUAAGCUAAACUAUUGUGUAAAGUAGCCUACGAACUUGAGCCUCGAGUGUAAGUUGUACUCUAAGCUACCUAUACGAUAAUAUAUAAUCCGAGUGAGUUUUGAA